rnacentral:rRNA from 1 species
CGUGUAGGCGGCCAGAUAGGUCAGCUGUGAAAACUCGAGGCUUAACCUCGAGAUGUCGGCUGAAACCAUCUGGCUAGAGUCCGGAAGAGGAGAAUGGAAUUCCCGGUGUAGCGGUGAAAUGCGCAGAUAUCGGGAAGAACACCCGUGGCGAAGGCGGUUCUCUGGGACGGUACUGACGCUGAGACCGAGAAAGCGGUGGGGGAGACCGAACGA